ACUAAGUUUCAACAACGGAUCUCUUGGCUCUCGCAUCGAUGAAGAACGCAGCGAAAUACGAUAAGUAAUGUGAAUUGCAGAAUUCAGUGAAUCAUCGAAUCUUUGAACGCACCUUGCGCUCCUUGGUAUUCCUUGGAGCAUGCCUGUUUGAGUAUCAUGAAAU
rnacentral:rRNA from 1 species